GAUGAACGCUGGCGGCGUGCCUAAUAAAUGCAAGUCGAGCGAAGCGGGGACGGGUGAGUACCACGUGUAUAACCUCCUCUACGACUGGGAUAACUUCGGGAAACCGUAGCUAAACCGGAUAAUUAUAGAUGGAUCCCAGCUGCAUUGGCUAGUUGGUAAGGUAACGGCUUACAAAGGCAACGAUGCCUAGCCGACCUGAGAGGGUGAUCGUCAAAACUGGAACUGAGAAACGGUCCAGACUCCUACGGGAGGCAGCAGUAGGGAAUCUUCCGCAAUGGGCGAAAGCCUGACGGAGCAACGCCGCGUGAGUGAUGAAGGUCUGCGGAUCGUAAAACUCUGUUAUUAGGGAAGCGGUACCUAAUCAGAAAGCCACGGCUAACUACGUGCCAGCAGCCGCGGUAAUAC
rnacentral:rRNA from 1 species